rnacentral:rRNA from 1 species
UGGGGAAUAUUGCACAAUGGGGGAAACCCUGAUGCAGCAACGCCGCGUGAGUGAUGAAGGUCUUCGGAUCGUAAAGCUCUGUCUUCAGGGACGAUAAUGACGGUACCUGAGGAGGAAGCCACGGCUAACUAUUGCUUCAA